rnacentral:rRNA from 1 species
UAAAACCUAUUUAUAAUGGCGGCAUUCAAUCUUAUUAGAGGAACCUGUUUUUUAAUCGACAAUCCACGUUAACUUUCACUUCAAUUAAAAAUUUAUAUACCGCCAUCUAAAAAACUAAUUUAAUGAUAAUAUUUUCGAUAAAAACUAAAAAGUUAGGUCAAGGUGUAAUCUACAUUAAAGCUGAUAAUGGGUUACAUUAAAACUAAUUUAAGGAUUAUUUUACAAAAACAUUUUUCGAAAAAGGAUUUAAAAGUAAUAGUAAAAUAAUAUUUUACUAUG